GACGAACGCUGGCGGCAGGCCUAACACAUGCAAGUCGAGCGGAGCGGCGGAAGGGUGAGUAAUGCCUAGGAAUCUGCCUGGUAGUGGGGGAUAACGUCAGGAAACGGGCGCUAAUACCGCAUACUAUCAGAUGAGCCUAGGUCGGAUUAGCGAGUUGGUGGGGUAAAGGCGUACCAAGGCGACGAUCCGUAACUGGUCUGAGAGGAUGAUCAGUCACACUGGAACGGAGACACGCCCAAGAUCCCUACGGGAGGAAGCAGUGGGGAAUAUUGGACAAUGGGCGAAAGCCUGAUCCAGCCAUGCCGCGUGUGUGAGGAAGGUCUUCGGAUUGUAAAGCACUUUAAGUUGGGAGGCGUUACCAACAGAAUAAGCACCGGCUAACUUCGUGCCAGCAGCCGCGGUAAUAC
rnacentral:rRNA from 1 species